GCGCAAGUGGUUUAACGGUAAAAUCCGACGUUGCCAUCGUCGGGCUCCCGGUUCGACUCCGGGCUUGCGCA
rnacentral:tRNA from 1 species